AUCUCUCAACCCCCCUGUUUUGUAAUGAGACAGGCGUUUGGGCUUGGAUUAUGGUCGCUUGCUGGUCGUAAAGCUUUAGCUAGCUCUACACUCAUCAGCUCGACUGAAAUACACGAGCAACCCAGUUUGAAUAUUAACGGCUUGACUCGGCGUAAUAAUUAUUUCGCUGAGGACGUUUCAUAUCAAGAUAGUGGUGCUUCUAAUGCAGAGCGUGUAACAGCGCUUCUACUUUUAAGC
rnacentral:misc_RNA from 1 species